GCCGAGGUGGUGAAAUGGCAUACACGCUAGCUUUAGGAGCUAGUCCCGAAAGGGGUGGAGGUUCAAGUCCUCUCCUCGGCACCA
rnacentral:tRNA from 2 species